GACGAACGCUGGCGGCGUGCUUAACACAUGCAAGUCGAACGGAAAGGCCCUGCUUUUGUGGGGUGCUCGAGUGGCGAACGGGUGAGUAACACGUGAGUAACCUGCCCUUGACUUUGGGAUAACUUCAGGAAACUGGGGCUAAUACCGGAUAGGAGCUCCUGCUGCAUGGUGGGGGUUGGAAAGUUUCGGCGGUUGGGGAUGGACUCGCGGCUUAUCAGCUUGUUGGUGGGGUAGUGGCUUACCAAGGCUUUGACGGGUAGCCGGCCUGAGAGGGUGACCGGCCACAUUGGGACUGAGAUACGGCCCAGACUCCUACGGGAGGCAGCAGUGGGGAAUAUUGCACAAUGGGCGGAAGCCUGAUGCAGCAACGCCGCGUGCGGGAUGACGGCCUUCGGGUUGUAAACCGCUUUCGCCUGUGACGAAGCGUGAGUGACGGUAAUGGGUAAAGAAGCACCGGCUAACUACGUGCCAGCAGCCGCGGUGAUACGUAGGGUGCGAGCGUUGUCCGGAUUUAUUGGGCGUAAAGGGCUCGUAGGUGGUUGAUCGCGUCGGAAGUGUAAUCUUGGGGCUUAACCCUGAGCGUGCUUUCGAUACGGGUUGACUUGAGGAAGGUAGGGGAGAAUGGAAUUCCUGGUGGAGCGGUGGAAUGCGCAGAUAUCAGGAGGAACACCAGUGGCGAAGGCGGUUCUCUGGGCCUUUCCUGACGCUGAGGAGCGAAAGCGUGGGGAGCGAACAGGCUUAGAUACCCUGGUAGUCCACGCUGUAAACGGUGGGUACUAGGUGUGGGGUCCAUUCCACGGGUUCCGUGCCGUAGCUAACGCUUUAAGUACCCCGCCUGGGGAGUACGGCCGCAAGGCUAAAACUCAAAGGAAUUGACGGGGCCCCGCACAAGCGGCGGAGCAUGCGGAUUAAUUCGAUGCAACGCGUAGAACCUUACCUGGGUUUGACAUGGAUCGGGAGUGCUCAGAGAUGGGUGUGCCUCUUUUGGGGUCGGUUCACAGGUGGUGCAUGGCUGUCGUCAGCUCGUGUCGUGAGAUGUUGGGUUAAGUCCCGCAACGAGCGCAACCCUUGUUCACUGUUGCCAGCACGUUAUGGUGGGGACUCAGUGGAGACCGCCGGGGUCAACUCGGAGGAAGGUGGGGAUGACGUCAAGUCAUCAUGCCCCUUAUGUCCAGGGCUUCACGCAUGCUACAAUGGCUGGUACAGAGAGUGGCGAGCCUGUGAGGGUGAGCGAAUCUCGGAAAGUCGGUCUCAGUUCGGAUUGGGGUCUGCAACUCGACCUCAUGAAGUCGGAGUCGCUAGUAAUCGCAGAUCAGCAACGCUGCGGUGAAUACGUUCCCGGGGGCU
rnacentral:rRNA from 1 species